rnacentral:lncRNA from 1 species
GUCAAAGUGACAUACGACAGCACAGGACCCCCGGAAGCGGCUGUUCAGUAAUGGAAGGGUCAACGGAUGGUUGCAAGUCUCAUCUGGGAGAGGGGUGGGGACUACAGGGUGAGGGCAGAGAGGGAGGACCCCAGCGCCCACAGGGCUCGCCAAGGUGGGCACAGCGUGAGGGCGGGCUUCAAACCCAGCCUAGUGGGGAGAGCCUCGUGUGCAGAGAACAGAAGAGUGAGCACGCAAGAACCUGCGUGUCUCAGGGGCCCCACCAUCCGCAGGCUCCGGAGCAGGAGGAGGAGAUAAUCCAGGUGCUUGUCCUUGACGGUGUCUGUCUCCAUGGAGGAUAGUGGAUUCUGGAGCCAGGAAGCCAGAGAACUAUAUUGCAGAGGAACCAAAGAAUCCAUGAGGUGAAAUUCCGAUGAACUUUCUAACAGGAGAAUCCGGUUGACCCCACCUGAGCUUACUGACCUAUCCUGUCACAACUCAAAGUAGAAGAAAGACGAUGAGCCUCCCCACUGGGCCACGAUGGAAAGCACAGCACCAUCUACAAAGGGUUCUUGCCUUUAAAAGUAAACCUGAAUCCAAUCAAGUCUCUGAAUCCAACCACUAGCUUUUAAGAAAUACAGAAGACAAAGGAAGAAGUUAAAGAAGGCCUCUGGGCAGCAAUCAGCCACAUCUAGGAUACAGGACAUCCUAGAGAUGCAGAGAACAAACUAGUUUCUCCAAGAAAUCAAUGGCAUUUUUAAUAAGAAUAAAGAAUAAAGCAAAAAGAACCAAGGAUAUUUAAGAUAUACCCAAACGCAAUGUGUGGGUCUUGUUUGGAUCCUGAUUCAGACAAAUGAACUCUAAAAGACCUUGUUAAGAAUUUGAUCAGGCUAAGGGACUAUGGGAUUUGAUAACUCGUGUAUUAAAGAAUGGCCCUGCAAAUGUUACUCUAUCAUAAAAAUGUAACCACUCUAAUUGAAUUUAGAAGCAAUAUUAAAAUUAUUCUUUUGGUGAUGCUUCCUAGAUGUAUUAAAUAAAAUAUUUAAAGUAGCAAUUGAUUAAACUGCAAAACAAUAAAGAAUUUGAUCGUGAA